UGGAGUGGAAUGCACUAAACAAGUUGAGAAAACUAAACAUACUCCAUGUUUUACUUUAUUAACCAAUAUUGUCCAUUUUGUUAAAUUACCAUUAAAAAAUUCAUUUAAAUAUUUUAAGUUCUAUUUAUAAAGAAAACAAAUAUGAAUUAAAAGAAUAAAAUUUAAUUAAAAAAAUUCUGGAAACCCGACAGCCUCUAUGUCUUUCUCAUGCAACCACCACCACCCAACCCACACCACAACCACCAUGAGUAGUCCCAGCCACCACCUUAUUCUCUCUCUCUCUCUCUCUCUCUCUCUCUCUCUCUUUCAAUUGUCGAAUCCCAACAUGGCAACCAAGUUCUUCAGUUUCUUUUUGCUGAUUAUUUUGCUCUGCUCCACAUUCAUUGCAAUAAAGUGCCCGACCCUUCAAUAUCAUGAGUACAACAAUUGGAGGUUUCCUUGAUGGGAAUCGGGCCCUAGCCUAGGUGAGGGGCACUUACGAACCAACAAACCCUUGGAGGGAUAAAGAAAUCUGGCCCGAGCCCUCCCUUCUCUCCCCGAUCCAUCCCACCCCACCCCACAACUCCUCCAUCUCUCUUUCCUCUCUCUUUCUCUCUCCCUUUUUCCAUCCAACCCACGCCCACAAAAAUAUGAGUGAAAUAAAGAUUCAACAUCAGUAUUGGCAGGCAACUGAUGGUUGUGGUGUUGGGUUGGGUAGCGGCAGCAGCAUGAGAGGAGGACACAUAGUCUGUUGGGUUUCCAAAAUUUCUUUUUUAAUUUUUUAAUUUUUUAAUUUUUAUCAACAUUAUAAACUGAACUUAACAAAUUUUUUAAUUAAUUUUUAAACUUUAAUGAAUUUUUUAACAAUAAUUUAAUACAAUUGACAACAUUGACUAAUGGAGUCAAACACAGGAACUAAAUUGAUCAAAUUAAAUACAAGAUAUUAAAUUUGCCAAAUGUACAAAUUACAUGGACUAUUUUAAUAUUUAAGCCUUAAUUUUAUAGAAGCAGUUAGACUUAAUAAAUUUUAUAUUGUUUUUGCUUUUCCUCGGUGAUGAUUUUCAUUUAAUUUUUGAACAGAUGAGACAGAGGCAACUGAUUCUAUGCACUUGCAGGCAUGCUGAGAUUGAGGCGCUUAUACAUAUUGUCAUGGAUGAUUUCAAAGAUGCUUUUGCUGCCCCCUCUCAAAUAUGCUUAUUAAAAGCUGUUGCUGCAGAAUUUUCUGACCGAAGGCUUGCAAUGAAGCUAACGAACCAAUGAAUACAGAGCUAUUUAUAUAAAGAUAUUGUAGCUGUAAUAUUGUAGGUCCAGCAGAUGAAGAUGAAGAUGAAGAUGAAGAUGCUCAACUUAACAAUCCAAUAUUACUGCAACUGCAAUAUUCUUGAGAGGCUUAGAUUGAGACACUGUUGGGAAUUCCCCUGCCAGUAAGUCCUCCUCCGCUAGUAGGAAACAGCAAAGUGUAUGGCAUCUUCACCGGUCCAACUCGGUUCUUCAGUU